GACGUAGGGCGCGAGCGUUGUCCGGAUUUAUUGGGCGUAAAGAGCUCGUAGGCGGCUCAUUGCGUCAACCGUGAAAUCCUGCUGCUCAACGGCAGGUCUGCGGUUGAUACGGGUGGGCUGGAGUUCGGUAGGGGAGACUGGAAUUCCUGGUGUAGCGGUGAAAUGCGCAGAUAUCAGGAGGAACACCGAUAGCGAAGGCAGCUCGCUGGGACGGUACUGACGCUGAGGUGCGAAAGCGUGGGGAGCGAACAGG
rnacentral:rRNA from 1 species